UACGUAGGUGACCAGCGUUGUCCGGAUUUACUGGGCGUAAAGAGCGCGCAGGCGGUCGUUCAAGUCGAGUGUGAAAGCCCCCGGCUCAACUGGGGAGGGUCAUUCGAUACUGAUCGACUGGAAGGCAGGAGAGGGAAGCGGAAUUCCCGGUGUAGUGGUGAAAUGCGUAGAUAUCUGGAGGAACACCGGUGGCGAAGGCGGCGUCCUGGACCAACACUGACACUGAUGAGCGAAAGCCAGGGGAGCAAACGGG
rnacentral:rRNA from 1 species